UAAGAAAAAAUUAAUAAAUAAAAUUUAAAAAAAGUAAUUUAUAAUAUAAUUAUAUUUUAAUGGGGGUUAAAGUAUAAAUUAUAGAAAAAAUUAUAAAAUUUAUAGUAAAAUAGUAUUGUAAAAUAAAUUUGAAAUAUUUGAAAAAUAAUUAUUAAAAAAGUAGAUUUAAUUUAUUUUAUCUUGUGUAUCAGAGUUUAUUAAUUAAAUAUUAAGAAUUUAAUAUUUUCGAAUUAAUAAGAGAUAAUUAAUUAAAAAAGUUAUUGUUACAAAAAUAUUUUUAAUAAUUAAUUUGAAAUUAAAAGUUAAUCGUUUAUUAAGAUAUCUAAUUUUUUUAGAAAUAAAUUUAAUUUAAAAUUUGAUUAAUUAAUAAUUUAAUUAAAAAUUUAAUUUUUUGAAAUCAUAUUUAAAUAUUUUAAGGGAUAAGCUUUAAAAUAAAAUUUUAUAAUAAAUUUAAUAAAUAUAAUUAAAAUUAAUAAUUAUAUUUCAAUUAAUAAAAAUUAAUAAAAUUUAUAUUUUUUAAAAAAUUUAAUUUUUUAUAAAAAAUUUUUUUUAAAAUAAAAUUUUAUAAAAAUUUAAUUUUGUAUAAAAAAAUUAUUUUUAAUUAAAUAUAAUAAAAUAUAAUGAUAAAAUUAGUAUAUUUAAAAAAGUUAUUAAAAAUAUAAUAAAAAUUUAAAAAUUAAAAAAAGGAAUUCGACAAAAAUAAAUUUUUACCUGUUUAUCAAAAACAUGUCUUUUUGAAAAUAAUUUAAAGUCUAAUCUGCCCACUGAUUUUAUAUUAAAGGGCUGCAGUAUAUUGACUGUACAAAGGUAGCAUAAUCAAUAGUCUUUUAAUUGAUGACUUGUAUGAAUGAUUGGAUAAAAAAUUAAUUGUCUCUUUUUAAAAUAUAGAAUUUAAUUUUUUAGUUAAAAAGCUAAAAUAAAAUUAAAAGACGAGAAGACCCUAUAGAAUUUUAUAUUUUAAUUGAUUAUUAUUAUUUUAUAAAUUUUUAAUAAAUAAUUAGUUAAAAUAAUUUAUUGGGGUGAUAAAAAAAUUAAAAUAACUUUUUUUUUAUUUAACAAAAAUAAUUGAAUAUUAUGAUCCAUAAUUUAUGAUUAAAAGAAAAAAUUACCUUAGGGAUAACAGCGUAAUUUUUUUUUUUAGUUCUUAUAAGAAAAAAAGUUUGCGACCUCGAUGUUGGAUUAAGAUAAAAUUUAAAUGCAGAAGUUUAAAAAUUUUGAUCUGUUCGAUCAUUAAAAUCUUACAUGAUCUGAGUUCAGACCGGUGUGAGCCAGGUCGGUUUCUAUCUUUAGUAAAUAUAAAUAUUUUAGUACGAAAGGAUUAAAUAUUUAAAAUAAUUUUAAUAUUUUGAAUAUUAAUAAAUAAUAAAAUA
rnacentral:rRNA from 1 species